GACGAACGCUGGCGGCGUGCCUAAUACAUGCAAGUAGAACGCAGUUGCGAACGGGUGAGUAACGCGUAGGUAACUGCCUCAUAGCGGGGGAUAACUAUCGGAAACGAUAGCUAAUACCGCAUACUGUGAGAUGGACCUGCGUUGUGUUAGGUAGUUGGUGGGGUAAAGGCUCAACAAGGCGGCGGUACAUAGCCGACCUGAGAGGGGUGUCGGGCACACUGGGACUUGGAACAGGCCCAGACUCCUUCGGGAGGCCGCAGUAGGGGAUCGUCGGGAAUGGGCGGAAAUCUGGCCCGGCAACGGCCCGGUGGUUAAGAAGGUUUUCGGAUCGGAAAGAUCUGUUGGUAGGGAAGCGGUAACUAACCAGAAAGCGACGGCUAACUACGUGCCAGCAGCCGCGGUAAUAC
rnacentral:rRNA from 1 species